rnacentral:rRNA from 1 species
UACAGAGGUCUCAAGCGUUGUUCGGAUUCAUUGGGCGUAAAGGGUGUGUAGGUGGCGCGCUAAGUCGGGUGUGAAAUUUCGGAGCUUAACUCCGAAACUGCAUUCGAUACUGGCGUGCUUGAGGACUGGAGAGGAGACUGGAAUUCAUGGUGUAGCAGUGAAAUGCGUAGAGAUCAUGAGGAAGACCAGUGGCGAAGGCGAGUCUCUGGACAGCAACUGACGCUGAGGCACGAAGGCCAGGGGAGCAAACGGG